UACGGAGGGGGCUAGCGUUGUUCGGAAUUACUGGGCGUAAAGCGCGCGUAGGCGGACCUGCAAGUCGGGGGUGAAAUCCCGGAGCUCAACUCCGGAACUGCCCUUGAAACUGCAGUGCUAGAAUCUUGGAGAGGCGAGUGGAAUUCCGAGUGUAGAGGUGAAAUUCGUAGAUAUUCGGAAGAACACCAGUGGCGAAGGCGACUCGCUGGACAAGUAUUGACGCUGAGGUGCGAAAGCGGUGGGGAGCAAACAGG
rnacentral:rRNA from 1 species